rnacentral:lncRNA from 1 species
GGAGAGAGGAUGUUCACCACAGGGAAGAAACUAAGAUGCGGAAUUCUCUCAACUGAGUCCACUUGUAACCCACCCUCAGGACAGAAGGCAGAAAAUUUACAGAAAUGGAUGCAUGGGAAACUUGUUCAAAAAUACACAGCACAUUGUACCUUGCAGCACACCUGAAAUAACACUGCAAAAAAACUAUAUCUGUGGGAUGAAUGCAAAGAUCAUCAAUUUAGUACCCAGUUCCAGGUCAGACAAGGAACACAGGCUUUCUUGCCAUGAACACGAAGCAUGAGAUGUUAUCGAACUUUCCCUGCGCUCUAUGGGCUGCCUUAGAGACAGGAUUCUCACUGCUGGUGAUUCUGACCGCUCAGGGACGUCUGGCAGAGCCUGGAGACAUUUCAAGCUGUCACACUGGACAGGGGACGUUACUGGCAUCUGCUGGGUAGAGGCCAGUGAUGCUGCUAAUCACCAACAAUGCAGAGGACAGGUCCUCACAACGAAGAUGUCAAUAGUACUGCUGUCGGGAAGCCCUGCCUUAGAAUACAGCUAGUAUUGGCC